rnacentral:rRNA from 1 species
UACGGAGGAUGCGAGCGUUAUCCGGAUUUAUUGGGUUUAAAGGGUGCGUAGGUGGUUUCUUAAGUCAGCGGUGAAAUCUCGGAGCUUAACUCCGAAACUGCCGUUGAAACUGGGCGACUUGAGAGUGAACGAGGUAGGCGGAAUUUAUAGUGUAGCGGUGAAAUGCUUAGAUAUUAUAAAGAACUCCGAUAGCGCAGGCAGCUUACCAGGCCACAUCUGACACUGAGGCACGAAAGCGUGGGUAUCAAACAGGAUUAGAUACCCUGGUAGUCCACGCAGUAAACGAUGAUUACUCGCUGUUUGCGAUACACAGCAAGCGGCUUAGCGAAAGCGUUAAGUAAUCCACCUGGGGAGUACGCCGGCAACGGUGAAACUCAAAGGAAUUGACGGGGGCCCGCACAAGCGGAGGAACAUGUGGUUUAAUUCGAUGAUACGCGAGGAACCUUACCCGGGCUCGAACGGCUAUAGAAUUUUGGUGAAAGCCAAAAGCCAGCAAUGGCUGUAGUCGAGGUGCUGCAUGGUUGUCGUCAGCUCGUGCCGUGAGGUGUCGGCUUAAGUGCCAUAACGAGCGCAACCCUUAUCAUUAGUUACUAUCAGGUAAAGCUGAGGACUCUAGUGAGACUGCCACCGUAAGGUGUGAGGAAGGUGGGGAUGACGUCAAAUCAGCACGGCCCUUACGUCCGGGGCUACACACGUGUUACAAUGGGAGGGACAGAAGGUUGCUACUUGGCAACAAGAUGCUAAUCCGUAAACCCUCUCCCAGUUCGGACUGGAGUCUGCAACCCGACUCCACGAAGCUGGAUUCGCUAGUAAUCGCGCAUCAGCCAUGGCGCGGUGAAUACGUUCCCGGGCCUU